CCUACGGGAGGCAGCAGUGAGGAAUAUUGGUCAAUGGCCGGAAGGCUGAACCAGCCAUGCCGCGUGCAGGUCAGUGCCCUAUGGGCGUUAAACUUCCUUUGUGCGGGACGUAGAAAGUGACGGUACCGUAAGAAUAAGCCACGGCUAACUACGUGCCAGCAGCCGCGGUAAUACGUAGGUGGCAAGCGUUAUCCGGAUUUACUGGGUGUAAAGGGCGAGUAGGCGGGAUUGCAAGUCAGAUGUGAAAACUAUGGGCUCAACCGUGAGAGUGCAUUUGAAACUGCAGUUCUUGAGUGAUGGAGAGGCAGGCGGAAUUCACGGUGGAGCGGUGGAAUGCGUAGAGAUCGGGAGGAACACCAGUUGCGAAGGCGGGCGGCUGGACAGUAACUGACGCUGAGGCGCGAAAGCGUGGGGAGCAAACAGGAUUAGAUACCCCUGUAGUC
rnacentral:rRNA from 1 species